rnacentral:misc_RNA from 1 species
UUUUACGUCAUUAAUUGUAUUUUCUUUAUUAUAUAAACAGCUGCAUUUGCUUGCUCGUUUAUGUGUGAAAGAUUAAGCAUCUUUUAGUUCUUUGAACAAUCUGUUUGCUUUCAGAGCUGCAUGUUUGUUUAGUUUGAUCUGGAUCCGUAAUUGCAGUUUCCAAUAUGUGCGUAUUUUUAUAUUUGAGUAUAGAUGGGUAUGUAUAUGCG